rnacentral:misc_RNA from 1 species
GAAAUGCGAUAAGUAGUGUGAAUUGCAGAAUUCAGUGAAUCAUCGAAUCUUUGAAUGCACAUUGCGCUUCCUGGAAUCCCGGGAAGCAUGCCCAUUUCAGAAUCAUUUAAACACUCUCCUGCUUUGGUGUGCUGCAUUCGUGCGGCAUGCUUGAGCGGGCAGGAGUCUGGACCUUUUGUAAACCCCUGCAAUGGUCUGUAAAUGAUUGUAUGUACUGCAAUCGCUAUGUUGAUUGUCAAUGAAACAGCAACAGAUUUUUCUAAUACUGUUUAAUUGCAAUCGAGAUUGAUUUCAGGAUGUCAUCCAAUAACCACACAGAAAGCGAGACAAUUUUGUCGUGCUCUCUGUCAACUUGGUCUGAAAUUGGCAAGAAAACCCGCUGAACUUAA